UGGGGGAUAUUGCACAAUGGGCGAAAGCCUGAUGCAGCGACGCCGCGUGGGGGAUGAAGGCCUUCGGGUUGUAAACUUCUUUUGCUCUGAACAAGGCAUGCUAAUGGGUGUGUUGAGUGUAGGGGUUGAUUAGCGCCGGCUAACUACGUGCCAGCAGCCGCGGUAAUACGUAGGGCGCGAGCGUUGUCCGGAAUUAUUGGGCGUACAGGGCUUGUAGGUGGCUGGUUGCGUCUGUCGUGAAAGCUCAUGGCUUAACUGUGGGUUUGCGGUGGGUACGGGCUGGCUUGAGUGCAGUAGGGGAGGCUGGAAUUCCUGGUGUAGCGGUGGAAUGCGCAGAUAUCAGGAGGAAUACCGGUGGCGAAGGCGGGUCUCUGGGCUGUUACUGACACUGAGGAGCGAAAGCAUGGGGAGCGAACAGG
rnacentral:rRNA from 1 species